GCCGAGUUGGUGGAAUGGCAGACACGACGGACUCAAAAUCCGUUGCCGCGAGGCGUGUGGGUUCAAGUCCCACACUCGGUA
rnacentral:tRNA from 3 species